rnacentral:rRNA from 1 species
CGGAGACAGUGAGUAGCUUGCUAUGAGCUGUUUUAGCGGCGGACGGGUGAGUAACGCGUGAGCAACCUUUCCCAGACAGGGGAAUAACACACCGAAAGGUGUACUAAUACCGCAUAAGACCACGGGAUCACAUGGUUCUGGGGUAAAAGAUUUAUCGGUUUGGGGUGGGCUCGCGUCCGAUUAGGUAGUUGGUGAGGUAACGGCCCACCAAGCCGACGAUCGGUAGCCGACCUGAGAGGGUGAUCGGCCACAUUGGGACUGAGACACGGCCCAAACUCCUACGGGAGGCAGCAGUGAGGAAUAUUGGUCAAUGGCCGAGAGGCUGAACCAGCCAAGUCGCGUGAAGGAAGAAGGAUCUAUGGUUUGUAAACUUCUUUUAUACGGGAAUAAAGUGAGUCACGUGUGGCUUUUUGUAUGUACCGUAUGAAUAAGCAUCGGCUAACUCCGUGCCAGCAGCCGCGGUAAUACGGAGGAUGCGAGCGUUAUCCGGAUUUAUUGGGUUUAAAGGGUGCGUAGGUGGUCUUUUAAGUCAGCGGUGAAAGUUUGUGGCUCAACCAUAAAAUUGCCAUUGAAACUGGGAGACUUGAGUAUGUUU